rnacentral:rRNA from 1 species
CCAGACUCCUACGGGAGGCAGCAGUGAGGAAUAUUGGUCAAUGGGCGGAAGCCUGAACCAGCCAAGUCGCGUGAGGGAAUAAGGCCCUACGGGUCGUAAACCUCUUUUGCCGGGGAGCAAGGGCGGGGACGUGUCCCGGCCCGGAGAGUACCCGGAGAAAAAGCAUCGGCUAACUCCGUGCCAGCAGCCGCGGUAAUACGGAGGAUGCGAGCGUUAUCCGGAUUUAUUGGGUUUAAAGGGUGCGUAGGCGGGCUUUUAAGUCAGCGGGAAAAAUUCGGGGCUCAACCCCGUCCGGCCGUUGAAACUGGCGGCCUCGAGUGGGCGAGAAGUAUGCGGUAUGCGUGGUGUAGCGGUGAAAUGCAUAGAUAUCACGCAGAACUCCGAUUGCGAAGGCGGCAUACCGGCGCCCGACUGACGCUGAGGCACGAAAGCGUGGGUAUCGAACAGGAUUAGAUACCCCAGUAAAA